rnacentral:sRNA from 1 species
AAUAAAUUAAUACUAGGUUUUACCCGAUUUUAGAAAAAAGUCGGGUAUUAUUUUGAUUAUAAAACUUAUAAUAUCUCUUUUAAAAGAUCUUAUGCCGCUACUCGGACUCGAACUCGAACCGAGAUGCUC